rnacentral:misc_RNA from 1 species
GACGUAGGGGGCCAGCGUUGCUCGGAAUUACUGGGCGUAAAGGGUUCGUAGGCGGUGCGGCAAGUCGGGAGUGAAAUCUCUGGGCUUAACUCGGAGGCUGCUUCCGAAACUGCCGUGCUCGAGUGCGGGAGAGGCCAGUGGAAUUGCAGGUGUAGCGGUGAAAUGCGUAGAUAUCUGCAGGAACACCCGUGGCGAAGGCGGCUGGCUGGACCGCAACUGACGCUGAGGCGCGAAAGCUAGGGGAGCAAACAGG